UACGAAGGGGGCUAGCGUUGCUCGGAAUUACUGGGCGUAAAGGGCGCGUAGGCGGAUAGUUUAGUCAGAGGUGAAAGCCCAGGGCUCAACCCUGGAAUUGCCUUUGAUACUGGCUAUCUUGAGUUCGGGAGAGGUGAGUGGAACUCCGAGUGUAGAGGUGAAAUUCGUAGAUAUUCGGAAGAACACCAGUGGCGAAGGCGACCCACUGGCCCGAUACUGACGCUGAGGCGCGAAAGCGUGGGGAGCAAACAGGG
rnacentral:rRNA from 1 species